AUUGAACGCUGGCGGCAGGCCUAACACAUGCAAGUCGAGCGGUAGCACAGGGAGCUUGCUCCUGGGUGACGAGCGGCGGACGGGUGAGUAAUGUCUGGGAAACUGCCUGAUGGAGGGGGAUAACUACUGGAAACGGUAGCUAAUACCGCAUAACGUCGCAAGACCAAAGAGGGGGAACUUGGGGCCUCUUGCCAUCAGAUGUGCCCAGAUGGGAUUAGCUAGUAGGUGGGGUAACGGCUCACCUAGGCGACGAUCCCUAGCUGGUCUGAGAGGAUGACCAGCCACACUGGAACUGAGACACGGUCCAGACUCCUACGGGAGGCAGCAGUGGGGAAUAUUGCACAAUGGGCGCAAGCCUGAUGCAGCCAUGCCGCGUGUAUGAAGAAGGCCUUCGGGUUGUAAAGUACUUUCAGCGGGGAGGAAGGCGAUAAGGUUAAUAACCUUGUCGAUUGACGUUACCAGCAGAAGAAGCACCGGCUAACUCCGUGCCAGCCGCCGCCGUAAUAC
rnacentral:rRNA from 1 species